UACAGAGGUGGCGAGCGUUAUUCGGAAUUAUUGGGCGUAAAGGGCGCGUAGGCGGCCAAGCAAGUCCUGGGUGAAAUCCCUCGGCUCAACCGAGGAACUGCCUCGGAAACUGCAUGGCUUGAGGCCGGGAGAGGGUAGCGGAAUUCCCAGUGUAGCGGUGAAAUGCGUAGAUAUUGGGAGGAACACCGGUGGCGAAGGCGGCUACCUGGACCGGUUCUGACGCUGAGCGC
rnacentral:rRNA from 1 species